GACCGUUAGUUUUGGCGAAAGACAAACUAUCCACUGCCAGUACACCUCUGGCUGUUCAAUGGCAUCACGAAUUGAGCGUCUCGCCCGGCCUAAUCCCAACCUACUUAAAUUCCCUGACAGCCCCCGAAGAUGUGUUGGUUUCUGCGCCAUCAUAAGUCACUGACAAAAGUUGCUUUUUUGCAUUUUGUUCAACGUACCCUAUCUCUUCAUACAUUCAGAGGGUGGGACCCUCAUUAAUUGGUGUCACUACAGGCGCUCCGUAUACUGGUUGGAUGAGCUUCCAGCAAAAUCAAAGCGGUCCACUACUGUCUUUGAGAGUCUCCUGAGUGGAAGGUGGGCGCAGCCACAUUAAAGGCUCGUCCCUCUGAAAGAGUGUGUUCACUCGCUCGACCCCGUCAGCCUGCAGUCGGCUGGCAGCCUGAUCGCCCCCUAUUGACCACAUAUGGUAUGGGAGUGAGAACUAUAGCUAAAGCCAGUCCUCGGAUCUGCCAGUUGGCUCAACCAAAAAAGUCAAGAAUGCCAUUGACUCCAGCAUUCAACAGCACUAAUAGCUGUUUGACACUUCUCCCACAAGCCAAGCCUUCUUCUCAUAUACACCUCCUGGCCAUUCCUAAAAAGGAGCAUCCUCAUUAUCGUCCAAACCAACCUGUGUCAUCGCACGUGCCAAGGUCCGUCCUGGAAGCUGUAGCCAGUGAGAGGCUGCAGGUGCUGGCCAUACCAAAGCCCCGCAAUCCUCUUUAUGAGGGAUUCGAUCCCUAUAAAGUGAGCUUGGCUGCUCGUGUUGCUACUGCAUCCCCAAGAAUACAGGAACUGUCACAACCCCCGGCACGCAGGUGCAGGAAAACAUCAG
ensembl:lncRNA